AUGGGGGGAACGCACUUCGCCGACGACGACCUCGCCCACGAGGCCACGGGCGACGGAGAUGUGGGCCGCCGCGACGUGGGCAAGAUGGAGCACGGGUGCGAGCAUUAUCGGCGGAGAUGCAAGAUCGUAGCGCCCUGCUGCAAGGAGGUGUUCCCCUGCCGCCAUUGCCACAACGACGCCACGGCUUUGGGUGAUCGGCAUAAUAUAUGUCGCCAGGAUGUUGAAAAAGUAGUGUGUGUACUCUGUGAUACUGAACAACCGGUGUCACAAGUGUGUGUAAGAUGUGGAGUCAAUAUGGGAGAAUACUUCUGUGAUGUAUGCAAGUUUUAUGAUGACGACACAGAGAAAGGGCAGUACCAUUGCCAUGAUUGCGGCAUAUGCAGGGUUGGCGGCAAGGAAAACUACUUCCACUGUGCAAAGUGUGGGUCAUGUUACGCUGUUGCAUUGCGUGAUAACCAUCAGUGUGUGGAGGAUUCAAUGAGACAGAACUGCCCAAUCUGUUAUGAGUAUCUAUUUGAUUCAUUAAAAGGAACAAGAGUUCUAAACUGUGGACACACGAUGCACAUGGACUGUUUCGCUGAGAUGGUGGACCAUAAUAAAUACACUUGUCCAAUAUGCUCUAAGACAGCUCUUGACAUGACAGUUCACUGGGGCAUGUUGGAUCAAGAGAUUGAAGCAACAAUUAUGCCUCCUGUAUAUCGUUACAAGGUUUGGGUUCUUUGCAAUGACUGCAACAAAGUCUCAGAAGUGGACUUCCACGUGAUUGGCCAUAAGUGCAGCCAUUGCAACUCAUACAACACUAGAUCGACGUCGCGGCCUGCAGAUUUAUCAGGAAGCAGUUCUCCGUCGACAACAGACUCAUCUUAA
rnacentral:rRNA from 1 species